rnacentral:miRNA from 1 species
UAAGUGGAACCAAUUAUCGAAU